UUUCCGUAGGUGAACCUGCGGAAGGAUCAUUACAGAGUUCAUGCCCUCACGGGUAGAUCUCCCACCCUUGAAUAUUUAUACCUUAGUUGCUUUGGCAGGCCGUGGAAACACCAUGGGCUCCGGCUUAUGCGUGCCUGCCAGAGGAAACAAACUCUGUUUUUAGUGAUGCCUGAGUACUAUAUAAUAGUUAAAACUUCCAACAACGGAUCUCUUGGUUCUG
rnacentral:misc_RNA from 1 species